CCCUUCCCCGACCCGGUCCCGCCCUCUGCACCCCUGGAGAGCAGGGCUGCUAGCCUGGGCGCGCGGUGAGCAGCAGGGUGGGCUGCACGGCGGAACGCCGAGAGCAAGGACGCAGAUCUAGGGCGCGGGGUGCCUGUGCUGAGGACGCAGCGCUGGACUCGGAGUCCGGAGUUGGAGGGGCCGCCCGGGUCACGUAGUACAGAUUUCCUGGGCGUCUGUCCGGGCAGACAGGUCGUGGCAAGACUGUCCGCAUCCAAGCGGGGUCAGGGACUCGGACACAAGCAGCAGCCAUCAGCUCCAAAAAGAGAGAAAUACCGGAAAGAGUGUACCUGGCAGAGGGAGGAGCUAACGCAGAGGCUCGGCAGUGCGCGGGAGAGCGAACCCGCUCUGUGAGCUUUGCAGAGGGCUUGGGGCUGCCAGAGGUGAGGAGGGGCACGACCGGGAAGCCCUGAAAUGGAUGAAAAGGAAUCGUGGUUAUGCACGUUUUGCAAAGACCCUAGAGUGUUCGAAGGAGCGUGUGUUCAUCGGCUGCAAAGUCUCCCGCUUGCUCUGGACUUCUGUGCCCAAGAGUGUGGAAGGGAGGUCCUGGAGCGGCUCGCUGACCCCGAGUUUCCCGCAGCACCACUUUUGAUGGCUCUCUGAAGGGCUUCGGGCGAGCGUCCUUUGUUCCUGUAGGGCCGGCCUUGCCCUUCUGGUUCUUUGGGUGGUGGGGAGGCUGCGUGUGUCCCCUAGCCUCUUGCUCUCCAGGCUCACUUUCAUCCUUAUUGCCUUACCCUCAAAUCCCUACUGGAGGACGUUGCUUUCCCUUUCCCCUCCAAUGUUCUCCCUCCCAGCCCUUAGCUCAGCCGACUGACCCCAACCUCCUCUUUUCCUUGGUGCAAUCCUUCAGUAGAUCCUGAUUGCUAUACUCUCCAGAUGGCAACAUGGCCCUCCUCUUUAAGCCACCCGUCUGUCACCUGGAUGACUACAACAGCACUCAGUGGCCUUCAGCCUCCACCCUAUCCCAGCUACUUCACCCUCCAUGCAGCAGAAGGGCCUCUACCUUGUCUUCAUGUUCCAGUGGUUGCCAUAAAAUCCAGACUCUUGACCCUGAACCUGCAGGAUCCCAGGUCCCACCCAUUUCUCCACCUGUCUCCUCCCUUUGAUCAUCUGUGUGCCUUGCCAGUUCUCUGGACCACUUCCACCACUCCUCCUGGACCUGGGGAUCUUGGCACCUCCUGUUCUCUCCACUGUGGCCUUCUGCCUUCUCACAAGCUGACUUCUUUUCCUCGGGCUCAGCUGCAGCAGCACCUACAGGCCUUCAUUGCCCGCUCCCGUUGUCCUCUCUAGCUAAGAGACCAGCCCAGUUGGGGCCAUGAUGCUUAUCAUUGCAACAUUAUUUCAUAUGUUUAUUUA